UACGGGGGGGGCAAGCGUUGUUCGGAAUUACUGGGCGUAAAGGGCUCGUAGGCGGUCUGUCACGUCGGGAGUGAAAACUCGGGGCUCAACCCCGAGCCUGCUUCCGAUACGGGCAGACUAGAGGUAUGCAGGGGAGAAUGGAAUUCCUGGUGUAGCGGUGAAAUGCGCAGAUAUCAGGAGGAACACCGGUGGCGAAGGCGGUUCUCUGGGCAUUACCUGACGCUGAGGAGCGAAAGUGUGGGGAGCGAACAGG
rnacentral:rRNA from 1 species